rnacentral:rRNA from 1 species
GAUGAACGCUGGCGGCGUGCCUAAUACAUGCAAGUCGAGCGAACGGACGAGAAGCUUGCUUUUCUGAUGUUAGCGGCGGACGGGUGAGUAACACGUGGAUAACCUACCUAUAAGACUGGGAUAACUUCGGGAAACCGGAGCUAAUACCGGAUAAUAUUUUGAACCGCAUGGUUCAAAAGUGAAAGACGGUCUUGCUGUCACUUAUAGAUGGAUCCGCGCUGCAUUAGCUAGUUGGUAAGGUAACGGCUUACCAAGGCAACGAUGCAUAGCCGACCUGAGAGGGUGAUCGGCCACACUGGAACUGAGACACGGUCCAGACUCCUACGGGAGGCAGCAGUAGGGAAUCUUCCGCAAUGGGCGAAAGCCUGACAGAGCAACGCCGCGUGAGUGAUGAAGGUCUUCGGAUCGUAAAACUCUGUUAUUAGGGAAGAACAGAUGUGUAAGUAACUGUGCACAUCUUGACGGUACCUAAUCAGAAAGCCACGGCUAACUACGUG